rfam:Asian citrus Psyllid, Diaphorina citri - Florida Strain, whole genome shotgun sequence.
GCCUAGUUAGCUUGGUUGGUAGCGCGUCUGCCUCGUAAGCGCUAGGCCGCGGGUUCGAUUCCCGCCCGGGGCG